GCACGCCGGUAUAUUCGAACGAAACGGUUAGAAAGUUCGUUUUUUUUUUUUUAAAUUUUGAGCGAUAUAUUUUUUAAAAAACAAACAAAUGUCGUUACACGUGUUUAUAACGAGUCGAUAGCUCGUGUAUCGGGGGCUGGGGCGAACAAUAAGAAAACUGCACACACGUUUUUUUUUUUUGUUUUAAAUUAUUAUUAUUAUAAUUAAUAUUAUAUCAUAAUUAGGUUAUAUUAUUAAUUAUUAUUAUUUUUUAUAUUAUGCAUUAUAAUUGUAUGUAUGUACGUGUGUAUAUAUAUAUAUGAAUAUAAUUAUGUAUUAUGCGUACAUUUUAUAAUCGUCAGAUUCGCCUUCGUCCACGGGUAAUAUAAUCGCUCGUACCUUUAAUAAUAUUAUCUGCGUUUAUUCGUCCGUCCGUCGUUACUACUAUUAUAUUAUAAUAUAAAUUAGAUGUAUCGAUAAUAAUAAAUAUAAUUAAAUUUUUUUUUUUAUAUAUAUAUAUAUAUUAUAUAUCACAUUGUAAAAAUUAUACACAAAAAAAAAAAAUACUAAACACGUAAGAUCU